UCAUGCCUGCACAUUUUGCAUGAUAUGCUUUAAGCGACAAAUAUACACCGGCAGAGGUUAUCUUUGAUUUCCUUGGAGCAUAUAUGUCACUGAAAAUUAGCCACGUCAUUAGGGUGUUUAUCCCUAUCUGUGAGGAACUACAUUGGUAUUUGGUUAUUGUUGACUUUACGAGUCGUCGCCUAAUCAUAUUGGAUUCACUGUCUUGUGUCGGAAAACAUCAACAACGCAAAAGGAACGCAAUUAAAGUGGUAAUUAUUUGUUCUAAAUCAGUACUCAAUGAUUUAGAAUCACUUAACAACUUAACAAUUUAAAUAACCAUUUGUUGUAACUAGUACUCUUAUUCAAUUUAACUCAUUUACAAUUCACUUUUUUUUGUGUCA